GCGCCGGUGGUUCAGUGGUACAAUGCUCGCCUGCCACGCGGGCGACCCGGGUUCGAUUCCCGGCCGGCGCA
rfam:Hymenolepis nana genome assembly, scaffold: HNAJ_scaffold0003385